AGAGUUUGAUCCUGGCUCAGGACGAACGCUGGCGGCGUGCCUAACACAUGCAAGUCGAACGGAACUUUUUUAAAAGAUUUCUUCGGAAUGAAUUUGAUUAAGUUUAGUGGCGGACGGGUGAGUAACGCGUGAGUAACCUGCCUCUAAGAGGGGAAUAACAUUCUGAAAAGAAUGCUAAUACCGCAUAAUAUAUAUUUUAUCCGCAUGGUAGAUAUAUCAAAAGAUUUUAUCGCUUAGAGAUGGACUCGCGUCCGAUUAGUUAG
rnacentral:rRNA from 1 species